rnacentral:lncRNA from 1 species
GCGCAGCAGGCGUCCGGCGUGCGCGCCACGUACAACUACUACAACCCGGCGCAGAACAACUGGAACCUAGCUGGGACGUACUGCGCCACGUGGGACGCCAGCAAGCCGCUGUCGUGGCGCAGCAAGUACGGCUGGACCGCCUUCUGCGGGCCCGCCGGUCCCACUGGACAGGCCUCAUGCGGGCAGUGUCUCCUGGUAAGCUCAAGCUGAAACCUCUGUCAGUAAGACUGCUAUAGCAAGAGUUGUUACCUGCAUUAAUUAAUCUAGCUAGUUACCGUGAAUUAGUUCACCUUUCGUUCAAAAACUUUUUAAGAUUUCUCGUCACAUCAAAUCUUAUAUGGUAUAUGCCAGGAACGUCCUAGAGCUCGUGCAGGCUGUGCGACCGAACUGGGCUCCUAAAAUUUAUGGGCUCCAAAAUUUACUAAAGUAUUCUAAGUAUAUAUAAUAAUUUUAGGUUUAUUUUAAUUAGUAAAUUAGUCACAGAGACUCAAUAAACGUGGCCUGCUACUUCCUUAGAGAUAAAGCACAUUGAGUCCAUGAUCAUGAGUUAGAAAAGUCUAAGUUCAGAAAUUCUUCUUGACAUAAGUUUGUAACCCUUCGUGAGUUUGUGGCUUCGUCCCUUGGACUUGUUCCUUGUCCUUGGUGUUGUUCUUCACUCAAGAGUCGAGACCUAGUAGCAAUCCUAGACGACUGGACCUAAAUUAGGACACUAAACGGAGAUCAUUGCCUGGUAUAAAUUCCAUGCACAAUUCCUAUUUUAUUUAGUUAAUCUUUUAUACAUUGUCUUUGUAAUAUAUUGAUAUUUGAUAUUAUCUUUUUAGAUUUUGACAAUAGAUUUUAGACCUCCACUUGUUAUUUUGAACUGGGCCUCAUUUGCUCGGGACGCCGCUGGCACAUACAUGGAACUUUAAAUAUAAAUAAAAAACCAAUUAUACAGUUUGUCUGUAAUUUACGAGAUGAUUUUUUAAACCUAAUUAUUUUAUAGUUAGACAAUAAUUAUCAAAAAAACAAACGAAAAAUGCUAUAGUGUCAGGAUCCAAACCAGGCUUUAGUGCCGAUUGUUACUCAUGGAUUAUUGAUGCUUUCCGCACAUGUACCUACAGGUGACGAACUCGGCGACGGGGGCGUCGCUGACGGUGAGGAUCGUGGACCAGUGCAGCAACGGCGGGCUGGACCUGGACUACGACACGGCGUUCAAGCCGCUGGACACCAACGGUGCGGGCCUCAAUGCUGGCCACCUCACCGUCAGCUACCAGUUCGUCAACUGCGGCGACAACUGAUGCUGUCAUGAACAUGAUUCUUCCAAGAAUUAAUUAUAUGUAUG